rnacentral:rRNA from 1 species
GAUGAACGCUGGCGGCGUGCCUAACACAUGCAAGUCGAGCGAUGAAGCUCCUUCGGGAGUGGAUUAGCGGCGGACGGGUGAGUAACACGUGGGCAACCUGCCUCAUAGAGAGGAAUAGCCAUCCGAAAGGAUGAUUAAUACCUCAUAAUAUUGUAGCUUCGCAUGAAGCAACAAUCAAAGGAGCAAUCCACUAUAAGAUGGGCCCGCGGCGCAUUAGCUAGUUGGUGAGGUAACGGCUCACCAAGGCGACGAUGCGUAGCCGACCUGAGAGGGUGAUCCGCCACAUUGGGACUGAGACACGGCCCAGACUCCUACGGGAGGCAGCAGUGGGGAAUAUUGCACAAUGGGGGAAACCCUGAUGCAGCAACGCCGCGUGAGUGAUGACGGCCUUCGGGUUGUAAAGCUCUGUCUUCAGGGACGAUAAUGACGGUACCUGAGGAGGAAGCCACGGCUAACUACGUGCCAGCCGCCGCCGUAACAC